rnacentral:rRNA from 1 species
GAUGAACGCUGGCGGCGUGCCUAAUACAUGCAAGUCGAGCGAACAGAUGAGGAGCUUGCUCCUCUGACGUUAGCGGCGGACGGGUGAGUAACACGUGGAUAACCUACCUAUAAGACUGGGAUAACUUCGGGAAACCGGAGCUAAUACCGGAUAAUAUAUUGAACCGCAUGGUUCAAUAGUGAAAGACGGUUUUGCUGUCACUUAUAGAUGGAUCCGCGCCGCAUUAGCUAGUUGGUAAGGUAACGGCUUACCAAGGCAACGAUGCGUAGCCGACCUGAGAGGGUGAUCGGCGACGCUGGAACUGAGACACGGUCCAGACUCCUACGGGAGGCAGCAGUAGGGAAUCUUCCGCAAUGGGCGAAAGCCUGACGGAGCAACGCCGCGUGAGUGAUGAAGGUCUUCGGAUCGUAAAACUCUGUUAUUAGGGAAGAACAAAUGUGUAAGUAACUAUGCACGUCUUGACGGUACCUAAUCAGAGAGCCACGGCUAACUACGUG